CAGAACAUCAAAGUGCUACGCCAGAGGAUAAUCGAUGAAUUUAAAGGAAGCAGCCUGAAAUAAUUCGUAACACAGUACGCCACAUGCACAAACGAACCAUUCUUUGCGUCGAACGAAAUGGGGAACACGUUGAAGGGCAUGGCACAUAACUUUUAAUUUCAUAUAAAAUAAAAACUGAAACCAUUUAAUAUUUGUGAAAUCGUUUCGCUUUACUUUCGUCGUGUUAGAUUAUUU